GAUGAAGAACGUAGCGAAAUGCGAUACGUAAUGUGAAUCGCAGAAUUCAGUGAAUCAUCGAAUCUUUGAACGCAUAUUGCGCUCUCUGGUAUUCCGGAGAGCAUGCUUGUUUGAGUAUCAGUAAACACCUCAACUCCCUUUUCUUUUUUGAAAUUGGAGCUGGACUUGAGUGAUCCCAACGCUUUCUUCCAAGAAAGUGGCGGGUUGCUUGAAAUGCAGGUGCAGCUGAACUUUUCUCUGAGCUAUAAGCAUAUCUAUUUAGUCUGCCUAAAAAACAGAUUAUUACCUUUGCUGCAGCUAACAUAAAGGAGACUAGUUCUUGUGCUGACUGAUGCAGGAUUCACAGAGACAGCUUCGGCUGACUUUGUAAACUCGAUCUCAAAUCAAGUAAGACUACCCGCUGAACUUAAGCAUAUCAAUAAGCGGAGGA
rnacentral:misc_RNA from 1 species